rnacentral:rRNA from 1 species
UACAGAGGGUGCGAACGUUGCUCGGAAUUACUGGGCGUAAAGCGCGUGUAGGCGGACCGGUAAGUCAGAUGUGAAAUCCCUGGGCUCAACCCAGGAACUGCAUUUGAAACUGCUGGUCUAGAGUAUCGGAGAGGGUGGCGGAAUUCCUGGUGUAGAGGUGAAAUUCGUAGAUAUCAGGAGGAACACCGGUGGCGAAGGCGGCCACCUGGACGGUCACUGACGCUGAGACGCGAAAGCGUGGGGAGCAAACAGGAUUAGAUACCCUGGUAGUCCACGCUGUAAACGAUGGGUGCUAGGUGUCUCGGGUAUUGACCCCCGAGGUGCCGUAGCUAACGCGUUAAGCACCCCGCCUGGGAAGUACGGUCGCAAGACUA